rnacentral:rRNA from 2 species
UACAGAGGGUGCGAGCGUUAAUCGGAAUUACUGGGCGUAAAGCGCACGUAGUCGGCUUUGCAAGUCGGUUGUGAAAUCCCCGGGCUCAACCUGGGAACUGCAUCCGAGACUGCAUUGCUAGAGUAUGGGAGAGGAAAGCGGAAUUUCUGGUGUAGCAGUGAAAUGCGUAGAUAUCAGAAGGAACAUCAGUGGCGAAGGCGGCUUUCUGGACCAAUACUGACGAUCAGGUGCGAAAGCGUGGGGAGCAAACAGG